rnacentral:rRNA from 1 species
AAUGAACGCUGGCGGCAUGCCUAACACAUGCAAGUCGAACGAGACCUUCGGGUCUAGUGGCGCACGGGUGCGUAACGCGUGGGAAUCUGCCCUUGGGUUCGGAAUAACAGUUAGAAAUGACUGCUAAUACCGAAUGAUGUCGUAAGACCAAAGAUUCAUCGCCCAGGGAUGAGCCCGCGUAGGAUUAGCUAGUUGGUGUGGUAAAAGCGCACCAAGGCGACGAUCCAGCUGGUCUGAGAGGAUGAUCAGCCACACUGGGACUGAGACACGGCCCAGACUCCUACGGGAGGGCAGCAGUGGGGAAUAUUGGACAAUGGGCGAAAGCCUGAUCCAGCAAUGCCGCGUGAGUGAUGAAGGCCUUAGGGUUGUAAAGACUCUUUUACCCGGGAGUGAUAAUGACAGUACCGGGAGAAUAAGCUCCGGCU